rnacentral:rRNA from 1 species
AUUGAACGCUGGCGGAAUGCUUUACACAUGCAAGUCGAGCGGCAGCGCGGGGGCAACCCUGGCGGCGAGCGGCGAACGGGUGAGUAAUACAUCGGAACGUGUCCUUAAGUGGGGGAUAGCUCGGCGAAAGCCGGAUUAAUACCGCAUAAGCUCUGAGGAGGAAAGCGGGGGCUCCGUAAGGACCUCGCGCUGUUGGAGCGGCCGAUGUCGGAUUAGCUAGUUGGUGGGGUAAAGGCCCACCAAGGCGACGAUCCGUAGCUGGUCUGAGAGGAUGAUCAGCCACACUGGAACUGAGACACGGUCCAGACUCCUACGGGAGGCAGCAAUGGGGAAUUUUGGACAAGUGGGGGCAACCCUGAUCCAGCCAUUCCGCGUGAGUGAAGAAGGCC